rnacentral:lncRNA from 1 species
GGGCUAAUACCACCAAGGAGCCAAAGAAGAACAAGUUCUGGAACCGUCUGAAAUCAGGUCUGGGAUUAGGAGGUGGCUCGAGCUCAGGUCCAGACAGUGCAGUAUGUUUGAAGUGUGGGAAGCCGCACAAGGGAGUAUGUCGGUAUGGGACGACAGCCUGCUUCAGAUGUGGGCAGGAGGGACACAUGGCAUGAGAGUGUCCUAGAGCAGCUUUUAUGGCACAGUCCCAGCAGGCAGCUUCUGGUAGU